UACGUAGGGUGCGAGCGUUGUUCGGAAUUACUGGGCGUAAAGGGCUCGUAGGCGGCCAACUAAGUCCGACGUGAAAUCCCAAGGCUUAACCUUGGAACUGCGUCGGAUACUGGAUGGCUUGAAUUCGGGAGAGGGAUGCAGAAUUCCAGGUGUAGCGGUGAAAUGCGUAGAUAUCUGGAGGAAUACCGGUGGCGAAGGCGGCAUCCUGGACCGACAUUGACGCUGAUGAGCGAAAGCUAGGGGAGCAAACGGG
rnacentral:rRNA from 1 species